rnacentral:rRNA from 1 species
UAGAGAGAAGCUUGCUUCUCUUGAGAGCGGCGGACGGGUGAGUAAUGCCUAGGAAUCUGCCUGGUAGUGGGGGAUAACGUUCGGAAACGGACGCUAAUACCGCAUACGUCCUACGGGAGAAAGCAGGGGACCUUCGGGCCUUGCGCUAUCAGAUGAGCCUAGGUCGGAUUAGCUAGUUGGUGAGGUAAUGGCUCACCAAGGCGACGAUCCGUAACUGGUCUGAGAGGAUGAUCAGUCACACUGGAACUGAGACACGGUCCAGACUCCUACGGGAGGCAGCAGUGGGGAAUAUUGGACAAUGGGCGAAAGCCUGAUCCAGCCAUGCCGCGUGUGUGAAGAAGGUCUUCGGAUUGUAAAGCACUUUAAGUUGGGAGGAAGGGCAUUUACCUAAUACGUGAUUGUUUUGACGUUACCGACAGAAUAAGCACCGGCUAACUCUGUGCCAGCAGCCGCGGUAAUACAGAGGGUGCAAGCGUUAAUCGGAAUUACUGGGCGUAAAGCGCGCGUAGGUGGUUUGUUAAGUUGGAUGUGAAAUCCCCGGGCUCAACCUGGGAACUGCAUUCAAAACUGACUAACUAGAGUAUGGUAGAGGGUGGUGGAAUUUCCUGU